CCCCCCCCCCCCCGUGGGAAACCUUUUGAAUGGGCGCAGCUGCAUCCAGCAAUGCCGCGUGUGUGAAGAAGGCCUGCGGGUUGUAAAGCACUUUAAGCAGGGAAGAAUGGGCUAAAGCUAAUACCUUUGGUCAGUGACGUUACCUGCAGAAUAAGCACCGGCUAACUCCGUGCCAGCAGCCGCGGUAAUACGGAGGGUGCGAGCGUUAAUCGGAAUUACUGGGCGUAAAGCGCGCGUAGGCGGUUGGCUAAGUUUGCUGUGAAAGCCCCGGGCUUAACCUGGGAACUGCAGUGAAUACUGGUCGGCUAGAGUAUGGUAGAGGGUAGUGG
rnacentral:rRNA from 1 species